rnacentral:misc_RNA from 1 species
UGCUACAAAGGGCAUUGCU